GAGUUAACUGAAAGCGCGGUGGGUCUCAUGAAGACGUUAAAGGGUGGCUUUGACAUGGAUAACACUUGCAGCGGAGCGUGACGAAGCAUCAUUAAUUGAUGCCCUGGGAAUGAGAAUGUGUUGUUUAGAUGAAGUGAAUUGCACAAUAUGAGGCCAAGAUGUAGCCACAAACAAAAACCAAGGGGAUGUAACAGCUGCAUUAAGUCGAUCGUUAAUAUUGUUGGAUUUUUUUAUAUCAUGCAGAAAGAGUGGCGGGAGGAUCCUAAAGGAGUUUUCAAGAAGAAGGUGGCUCGCUGUGUGCGGAGGAGUCAAGAGAUGGCUUAUGACUAAAGGCUUACUCCAGUCACCAACACAAUUGGAACUGCACAGGGGAUUUGACAACUGGUUACACUUAAGUCGGCUACAUGACCACGGGGAUGUCAACAUCAACUAGUCACCAAAACAAGAAAAAGACUCACAGGAAAAAACCUUAAAACCCCAUAUUUCCCUACUAAUUCAUGUCUUGCAGUUGCUGGUUGCUAUUUAUACAUUUUGCUGAAUGGCAGUGACAUUCAUGCUGCCAAAAGUUAGCUUUUACUUUCCCAUUUUCCACCAUCAGUUGCUCGAGACACUAUUUCAGGUGAAGCAUUUAACUUUCUCUGUUGUGUACAUACUCAUCAGAUUUUACAAGAAACCAUCCCCUUUGAUAAAUAAUGAUAAACCAUUUUGUUAGUUUACUUUCUAUUUACCUAUUUAUUUAGAGUGAGACUGCUUUAAGAUGCGUAUCGUCUGUUAUGGAGGGUUUUUUGUUUAUUUUCAGCCUGCCACACUGAGCCAUCCAGUCUACAGCUAUUUCAUCACUUAUGCAAUUUUGCAGUCAUUAAAGAGAUAGAUGUACAGACACUGGCUCUCCUUUCCCUGCACACACCCUCAGUGUUCUGCAGAGAAAGUGGUCCUCCUCUACCCGAGGGGCGAACUUCUUAUCACCCAGCGCUGCCUUAACUUUGAACGCCAGCGAAGGACACUUAUCUCCAAAAAGGACUGCAUCUGGAGGCUUGUUUUGAAUCCAGACAAACUAUUGUGGACAAACCAAAGAGAAUAAACCAAUAAAUAUAUAUAUAUUUUAA